GGUGAACGCUGGCGGUAGGCCUAACACAUGCAAGUCGAACGGCAGCACAGUAAGAGCUUGCUCUUACGGGUGGCGAGUGGCGGACGGGUGAGGAAUACAUCGGAAUCUACUUUUUCGUGGGGGAUAACGUAGGGAAACUUACGCUAAUACCGCAUACGACCUACGGGUGAAAGCAGGGGAUCUUCGGACCUUGCGCGAUUGAAUGAGCCGAUGUCGGAUUAGCUAGUUGGCGGGGUAAAGGCCCACCAAGGCGACGAUCCGUAGCUGGUCUGAGAGGAUGAUCAGCCACACUGGAACAGAGACACGGUCCAGACUCCUACGGGAGGCAGCAGUGGGGAAUAUUGGACAAUGGGCGCAAGCCUGAUCCAGCCAUACCGCGUGGGUGAAGAAGGCCUUCGGGUUGUAAAGCCCUUUUGUUGGGAAAGAAAAGCAGCAGGUUAAUACCCCGCUGUUCUGACGGUACCCAAAGAAUAAGCACCGGCUAACUUCGUG
rnacentral:rRNA from 1 species